GGGAUAGUGGCGCACCCUAGAGAUAGGGCGUUUCCUUCGGGAACGCAAUGACAGGUGGUGCAUGGUCGUCGUCAGCUCGUGUCGUGAGAUGUUGGGUUAAGUCCCGCAACGAGCGCAACCCUUGUUACUAGUUGCCAGCAUUAAGUUGGGCACUCUAGUGAGACUGCCGGUGACAAACCGGAGGAAGGUGGGGACGACGUCAGAUCAUCAUGCCCCUUAUGACCUGGGCUACACACGUGCUACAAUGGACGGUACAACGAGUCGCGAACUCGCGAGGGCAAGCAAAUCUCUUAAAACCGUUCUCAGUUCGGACUGCAGGCUGCAACUCGCCUGCACGAAGUCGGAAUCGCUAGUAAUCGCGGAUCAGCAUGCCGCGGUGAAUACGUUCCCGGGUCUUGUACACACCGAUC
rnacentral:rRNA from 2 species